GUCGUAGACCACGACGUUGAUAGGCUGGAUGUGGAAGUGGAGUAAUCCAUGAAGCUAACCAGUCCUAAUUGCUCUGUUCGCGCUUAAAC
rnacentral:rRNA from 1 species